GGCGAAGGGGGCUAGCGUUGUUCGGAAUUACUGGGCGUAAAGCGAGUGUAGGUGGUUGUCGUAGUCAGGCGUGAAAGCCUUGAGCUCAACUCAAGAAAUGCGCUUGAUACUGGGCAGCUAGAGGACCGGAGAGGAUAGUGGAAUUCCCAGUGUAGUGGUGAAAUACGUAGAGAUUGGGAAGAACACCAGUGGCGAAGGCGGCUAUCUGGACGGUUUCUGACACUAAGACUCGAAAGCGUGGGGAGCAAACAGG
rnacentral:rRNA from 1 species